CAGCCGCCACGGGAAUACGUAGGGUGCAAGCGUUAAUCGGAAUUACUGGGCGUAAAGCGUGCGCAGGCGGUUAUAUAAGACAGUCGUGAAAUCCCCGGGCUCAACCUGGGAACUGCGAUUGUGACUGUAUGGCUAGAGUGUGUCAGAGGGGGGUAGAAUUCCACGUGUAGCAGUGAAAUGCGUAGAUAUGUGGAGGAAUACCGAUGGCGAAGGCAGCCCCCUGGGAUAACACUGACGCUCAUGCACGAAAGCGUGGGGAGCAAACAGGAUUAGAUACCCCGGUAGUCCCUGUCUCUUAUAA
rnacentral:rRNA from 1 species